AUGCUCUGUGCAUAAAAUUGACAGGUUCUGGAAUAGCACACACAAUAUUGUUUUUCUCUAUUUAUAUCGACUUCUCGUUCUAUAUUCUCACGUAUUUGAAAAAAUGUUUCCAUCUAAGAUGGCUUGUUAUGAGAAGGUUUUGAUGAAGAUGAUUUUUCUAUUUGUGAUUCUCUUAUCAAUGAAUAUGGCAACUGCAAGGGUACCCCUUUCCAUUUCAGAGCCUCACAAACCAAAUGGACGCUUCCUGGGAGGUGCUGAUCCCAUAGGCCACAACUUUCUUCCUCGUCGUCCUCCAAGUCCAUGAAAAAAAAUUAUAUAAUAUUGUAUUGAUUUGGUUUUCAUCGUUAAUAUAAAUUAUGUUUAUGUUUUUCUCUUAUUUAUAUUAAUAAUCAUAUUGUACAAUAUGGAGAAAUAUAUAGUAGAAUGAUGGUUGUAAUGGAAUAGAUCUACUCUGCUGUUA